UACGUAGGGGGCAGCGUUGUCCGGAUUUAUUGGGCGUAAAGAGCGUGUAGGCGGCCAUACAGGUCCGUUGUGAAAACUCGAGGCUCAACCUCGAGACGUCGAUGGAAACCGUAUGGCUAGAGUCCGGAAGAGGAGAGUGGAAUUCCUGGUGUAGCGGUGAAAUGCGCAGAUAUCAGGAAGAACACCCGUGGCGAAGGCGGCUCUCUGGGCCGAUACUGACGCUGAGGAGCGAAAGCGUGGGGAGCGAACAGG
rnacentral:rRNA from 1 species